GUCUAUGGCCAUGCCACCCUGAAGAAGCCUGAUUCCAUCUGAUCUUGGAAGCCAAGCAGGGUCGGGCCUGGCUAGUACUUUGAUGUGAGACCACCUAGGAAGACCAGGUGCUGUAGGUG
rnacentral:rRNA from 1 species